UCGAGGGGCAGCGGUGGUGAAGGCUUGCCUUCACCAGCCGGCGACCGUUGCCCGGGUGAGUAACACGUAUGCAACCUGCCUGCCACAGCCGGAUAAUCGGGAGAAAUCCCGUCUAAUACGGCAUAAUGCAUCGACGGGACAUCCUGUUGGUGCCAAAGGUUAAUUCCGGUGGCGGAUGGGCAUGCGUCGCAUUAGUUAGUUGGCGGUGUAACGGACCACCAAGACGACGAUGCGUAGGGGUUCUGAGAGGAAGGUCCCCCACACUGGUACUGAGACACGGACCAGACUCCUACGGGAGGCAGCAGUGAGGAAUAUUGGUCAAUGGGCGGGAGCCUGAACCAGCCAAGUCGCGUGAGGGAUGACGGCCCUAUGGGUUGUAAACCUCUUUUGCCGGGGAGCAAAGUGCCGCACGUGUGCGGUUUGGAGAGUACCCGGAGAAAAAGCAUCGGCUAACUCCGUGCCAGCAGCCGCGGUAAUACGGAGGAUGCGAGCGUUAUCCGGAUUUAUUGGGUUUAAAGGGUGCGUAGGCGGACGCUUAAGUCAGCGGUAAAAUUGCGGGGCUCAACCUCGUCGAGCCGUUGAAACUGGGUGCCUUGAGUGGGCGAGAAGUACGCGGAAUGCGUGGUGUAGCGGUGAAAUGCAUAGAUAUCACGCAGAACUCCGAUUGCGAAGGCAGCGUACCGGCGCCCAACUGACGCUGAAGCACGAAGGCGUGGGUAUCGAACAGGAUUAGAUACCCUGGUAGUCCACGCAGUAAACGAUGAAUGCUAGUUGUCCGGGGC
rnacentral:rRNA from 1 species